rnacentral:rRNA from 1 species
AGUGAACGCUGGCGGUAGGCCUAACACAUGCCAGUCGAACGGCAGCACAGUAAGAGCUUGCUCUUACGGGUGGCGAGUGGCGGACGGGUGAGGAAUACAUCGGAAUCUACUUUUUCGUGGGGGAUAACGUAGGGAAACUUACGCUAAUACCGCAUACGACCUACGGGUGAAAGCAGGGGAUCUUCGGACCUUGCGCGAUUGAAUGAGCCGAUGUCGGAUUAGCUAGUUGGCGGGGUAAAGGCCCACCAAGGCGACGAUCCGUAGCUGGUCUGAGAGGAUGAUCAGCCACACUGGAACUGGAACACGGUCCAGACUCCUACGGGAGGCAGCAGUGGGGAAUAUUGGACAAUGGGCGCAAGCCUGAUCCAGCCAUACCGCGUGGGUGAAGAAGGCCUUCGGGUUGUAAAGCCCUUUUGUUGGGAAAGAAGAGCAGCAGGUUAAUACCCCGCUGUUCUGACGGUACCCAAAGAAUAAGCACCGGCUAACUUCGUG